rnacentral:rRNA from 1 species
ACGGAAGGCAGCAGUAGGGGAUAUUGCACAAUGGGGGAAACCCUGAUGCAGCAACGCCACGUGUGGGAAGACGCAUUUCGGUGUGUAAACCACUGUCGUGAGGGAAUAAGGCUGCUUCUCGGCCCGGUUGAAUGUACCUCGAAAGGAAGCACCGGCAAACUUCGUGCCAGCAGCCGCGGUAAUACGAGGGGUGCAAGCGUUGUUCGGAAUCACUGGGCGUAAAGGGAGCGUAGGCGGAGACGCAAGCAGUCUGUACAAUACCGGGGCCCAACCCCGGACCUGCAGACUGGACUGUGUCUCUUGGAUAGUUCAGGGGCAGGCGGAAUUCCUGGUGUAGCGGUGGAAUGCGUAGAGAUCAGGAAGAACACCGAUGGCGAAGGCAGCUUGCUGGGGACUUAUCGACGCUGAGGCUCGAAAGUGCGGGUAGCAAACAGGAUUAGAUACCCUGGUA